ACCGAUUUCUUUGACUUCUUUUGUUCGUAUUUAUCAAAAGAUUGUGACCUUCCUUUUCCAACGGACGGAAUGUCUGCAUUUAUAUACGUUAAAAUUUUCAUAUUUUUAAGUGCAAUAUUGCAACACACUAUCAGCUAAGCAUCAGCAAUAGACUAUCAGCCCUACAAGGCAGAGGUAACCAAUGCACUCCUACACUUGUAAAACUCUUACAUCACUAAAUACUGAAAACUAACGUUGUAAGAGUAGCAACAUUCAUCAUGCAUAAUUUUUGUAUGCGUAGAAAUAAGACGCACAUACAGAUAUACCAUUUUCCAUCAACAAUAGCCGGCAUUAUUUGGAAAAAUUGUUUGAGGUAAGCACUUUUUAUGUUCUUGAAUUGUAUGUUGUUUCUAAAGAAGUAAUUAAAUAUAAUUGCAUAGGACGGAGGAAAACUCUCAAUGCGCUGCCCGAGCUGGAAAUCGAGUGGGAUCUAUUUUGUCGCGAUCGUGAAGCGUUGCGUGAUAUUUUUCUCAAUGGUGAUUUCAAGACAGGUUGUCUUAUAUUCUGCUUUAAGGUUGGAAAGACCAAUUACUUACAUUAGCUUGCUACCUCUAGGCUGUAUUGCCUUGCAAUUUGCAGCGCAUGAUUUGGAAUGUGCGAUAGAUUUUCCACUUCAAUAAGCGCAUGCCCACAAAUCUGUCGCCGCCGCGCGUAAUUAGCGACAUAGGCGAUCUCUUGCAGAGCUGUGUCAUCUUGUCCAGCUGUGUCAUCUUGUCCAAUGAGAACGUCACACUGUUGUUUCAGUGUUUAGUUGGCUCGAUGCUUUGCACGAAGUACAAUAUGUAGCCGAGGAGUUCCGUCCAUCGGUCGAGGCGUUCUAAUGGUUGAUUGGUAAUAUUGAAACGCGGUUUCAGCAGGCAUUAACCAACCCUGGCGGAAUAGUAGCAGCUCCGGUCGCGCAAAGUUUGCAUGAACCUGCUAGAUAGAUAACACACAACACUUUUCAUUUACUGGUGUGUCGCCAAAUAACGUAGCAUUGAAACUAAAACACCCUCUCUAACAGUAUUCUUUACUGACUCAUCUCUGGGGAUCAAGAAAUCGUAAAUGUCUAUUAUCAGGUGCUCCAUUUUAUUAAUGACAACGCUGACAAAUAGGUGCUACGCAUACGUAUCAUGAAUAAUGAGGAAACUAAUUUCAAUGACGAAGAUGAAGUCAACUGCACGAGAUACAACCGAAGCACUUACACCGAGUUGUUCACCUACCUGCCGAUAUCUGUAUCCCUCCAGAACAAGAGUCACAAGCCGAGCGACUUCUGGGACAGAUAAAUGUCGCCUGGGAGGCAUUAUGGCACGGAUCAAAUUUUAAAAUCUGCUAUCAGUAAUUUCUUCUUUAAAAAUAUCGAAAAAGGGGUGAAUUUCCAUACCCUAGCACUUCUUCAUGGACUAAUUCUGAGUUGGGUAUACCAGCGGCGAAAGAAUAAAGGAGAGAGUAUUCAUACUUCAGAAGUGUUGUUAAGCUGAAUAUUACAGUUAGAUGGAAUGUAAAAUUAAAAAUGUAUAAAAUUUCAAAAAUAACGAA